ensembl:lncRNA
UCAAGCCAAGCCACCUGGGUUCUAGUCCCAGCUCAGUUGUUAAUCCACUGGAUACUAACAUAUAUUGAUUAGUCACAUGUCCCCAACCUGGGUCAUCUUCCUGUUUAUCCUACUAUAUUCUUCAAUAAGGAUUUCAAGAGGACAUACGCUAGAACAGGAUGUAUCAGAUAUGCUGGAUGAGACAAGUUUUUUCCAAGGCAUGAAAAGAAGCUGUAUGUCAAGGGUCCAUUCUACAAGUACAGUCACAGCCAAUUACAGUCCCAAGCAGCAAGAAGGAGGGAACAAAGAUAUUGACACUUCUCCUUCCCUGCAACCUACUCCCCACCAAUUAAAAUUCUGAGAAGCUCAAAGGAGACUGAAAAGUGAGAAGCAAAGAUAGUAUCUGAAAAGUCUAGGAGGAUAAAUGUGGGAAAGUCCAGUCAUGUAUCUCCACCCAUGGAUAUGUUGUAUAUGAUCACACAGACACAGGAAAUGGGAAACUGUACAAGUACUUUGAACUGCUGAAUGUCACUGAAUAAAAAACCACAACAGUAUGUUAUAU